AACGCACAUUGCGCCCGCCGGUAUCCCGGCGGGCACGCCCGUCCGAGCGUCGCGCCCACCCGUCGAGCCCUGCUCGUGCUGGGGCCCUGCGGCUGCCGCAGGCCCCGAAAAAUAGCGGCGGUGACUCCGCCGCGCCGAGCGUAGUACAUUGCUCGCUCCGGCGCGGGGGGCGGCUACCGGCCCGUGAGACACAAGCAUGAAAAAGAGUCGACCUCGGAUCGGGCGGGAAUACCCGCUGAACUUAA
rnacentral:misc_RNA from 1 species